AGUGUUUCUACAAAUUCAUGCAUGUGUCGAAUGCAUGUAUGGACAUUAAAGGCUAGUCCAUGAAUGGAUCAAAUGCAUGGGAUGAUAGAAUGCAUGAAUCUUCACAGACCAAGAACUACGAGAUCGCCCCUUUCAUUCUGGGGUGACGGAGGGAUCGUACCAUUCGAGCCUUUUUUUUUCAUGCUUUUCCCGGAGGUCCGGAGAAAGCUGCAAUCAAUAGGAUUUUCCUAAUCCUCCCUUCCCGAAAGGAAGAACGUGAAAUUCUUUUUCCUUUCCGCAGGGACCAGGAGAUUGGAUCUAGCCGUAAGAAGAAUGCUUGGCUGAUAAAUAAUUCACUUCUUGGUCUUCGACCCCCUCAGUCACUACGAACGCCCCCGAUCAGUGCAAUGGGAUGUGUCUAUUUAUCUAUCUCUUGACUCAAAAUGGGAGCAGGUUUGAAAAAGGAUCUUAGAGUGUUUAGGGUUGGGCCAAGAGGGUCUCUUAACGCCCUCUUUUUUUUUCUUCCCAUCGGAGUUAUUUCUUAUUUCACAAAUACUUGCCAUGGUAAGGAAGAAGGGGGGAUUAAGUGCAUGUAUGGUGGCUAUCUCUUAACUUUCCAAGGCACUUAUUCGGCCAAGAAAUAGCUGCUAACUAAUUCUAUGUUGACCAUAGAGCUCCUUGAACAUGUUCACACUUUGAAUUGACCUAUAGGCUACUACACAUGCAUGGAUGGGUUCAAGAACGUCCAAGGGAAGGAAUUAACUCAAUAAUUCAACACAUUGAUUGAAUUAAGUGCAUGCACAAAGGGGAGAAUGAAUUUACUAGGUUCAUGCUACCAUUUAUGAACUUACAUGCCAUUAAAGUGUUUAAUUAUGAAGAUACAUGGUCCAUACAAGUGCAUGAACGUCCCAAGGAGAUGAAUGCAACCUUUUGGUGCACAUACAAGUCACUUGAAGCCUUUUUUUAUGACUAAGCAUUCAUGCACAAACUAAGGGGGAAGAAAGUGUCCAUUCAGCUAGUGCAUGAAUCUGCCGAAUUUAUGAACUAUUUUAACACAUUAGUGUGAACGUUUUUAUUAUUGUGUGAACACCUAGAUGCCGAAUUUGAAUGGUCAUCUAUGUGCCUAUAAAUAUUUGUUUUCUUUCAUUUGUAAAGGACUUUUGACUUUUGAUCAUUUGAAUGAACUUUGUUCAAAGAGUGAGUUUUCUCCUCUCUAAAUUCGUACGAGUUUUGAUCUGACUUAUCUAGCGUGCUAGUGGCGUCUAUCGUUCUCUUUUGAACUUAUCACCUUGCUUUGGUGUGGCGUUCAACCUUCUACAAUUCCGUAAUCCCACCUUGAACCGAAUAGAAAUCGGGGUGACACUUUUAGUGUUGAAUCGUUUCUGGUGUUUAAGCUCAUUUAUCCAUUCCACCGACUAUCUUAGAUUUUACCCAACUAUAAUAUCUUUUUACAAAACCGAGCCUUCAUUUAUCAACUUCUAUUUUUCUUAUUUUUAUACUUAAAUCGAGCCUACUACCCUUAUAAAUUUACCAUCACCUUAGCCAACCUUUAAAACCAUUUGAAAGCUUCCGCAUCUUUAGCCUUAUUUCAUCCUAUUUCUGAUAACUCAACUAUUCCUCAUCGACGAUCGGGCAAUCAAGUGAAUCGACUCAAUCAACCGAGCCAGAUCACAUCAACUUGUAUGGAACAUGUAUCUUCAUAAUUAAACACUUUAAUGGCAUGUAGGUUCAUAAAUGGUAGCAUGAAGCUAGUAAAUUCUUUCUCCCUUUUGUGCAUGCAGUUAAUUCAAUUAAUGUAUUGAAUUAUUGAGUUAAUUCCUUCCUUUGGACGUUCUUGAACCCAUCCAUGCAUGUGUAGUAGCUUAUAGGUCAAUUCAAAGUGUGAACAUGUUCAAGGAGCUCUAUGGUCAACAUAGAAUUAGUUAGCAGUUACUUCUUAGCCGAAUAAGUGCCUUGGAAAGUUAAGAGACAGCCACCAUACAUGCACUUAAGCCAUUCAUGCAUUCUAUCAUCCCAUGCAUUUGAUCCAUUCAUGGACUAGCCUUUAAUGUCCAUACAUGCAUUUGACACAUGCAUGAAUUUGUAGAAACCUUGCAUCUAGCCGUACAUGCACCAGCAUUUAAUACUUCUUCAUUCAUGAGUGUGGAAUGCCCAAAAGAGAUGUUUCUUCAUCCAUACAUUAUGCCGUCCUUGAUUAUUGUAUCUAAAAAAAAAUCAAAUUAUGAGACAUCAUGUGAACACAGUAAUGUCAUGCAUUAAAUUGGCUAAAAUGUGAACAUAAUUAAAAUAUGUAAUAACUAUGACAUAUUAAAACAAAUAUUAAUAUAAGUCAAAUUUGAUGCUUAAAUAAUUAUGUUUAGAUUUUAUUUAAUGUAUUAAGUCUAAAACCGGGUUUGAGCUAAAAUGAGCUAAGCUUUAGUCCUUAAGCUAAAGUUGAGCUGAGAUUAUACUCCUAAGCUGAAGUUGAGCUAAGGUGAUACGAACCGCCUCGGGGAGAGUCGAGUCGUAUGUGAGUUUGCCCGAUCAUCUACGAGAAAGUAUCGUUCGGUUUGUUCAAAAAAGAUGUUUCUAAAUAAAUUAUGCGGAAGCUAUUCAAGGGGUUCAAAUGAAGGGUUUAAAAAAUAUGAAUAUUAAGGUUCGGUUUAAAGUAAAUGAAAGAAUGGAAAGAAGGAACUCAAAAGCAAGCACGAACCAAUAUUAGAAAAUAUCGACCCAAAUGCUUAUAGGCUUUCAAGGUGAAAAUGAAAAUAAUAGAACCUCGACCCCCUACUUAGCAAAGUAGGAACCUCGGUAUAAGGGUGAAAGAAACAGGGUUGAUGCCACUACUAGGUAGAUUAGUCAACAAAGUCUCAAACAAAGUUUAGAGAAGAAAAUUCUCACAAGAUUAAAUUCAAUAAAAAAUUUGGCAAAAAGUCCUUUACAAAUGAAAGAAAACAAAUAUUUAUAGGCACAUAGAUGACCAUUCAAAUUCGGCAUCUAGGUGUUCACACAAUAAUAAAAACGUUCACACUAAUGUAUUAAAAUAGUUCAUAAAUUCGGCAGAUU
rnacentral:lncRNA from 1 species